GCAUCUGGAUGGCGAGCAACCUCAACAACACCUUCCUCCCCAGGAAUAAUCUCAGGCUUUUCUUCAAGAUCAGCCAAAGCGUCCUUGAGUUCAUCAGCUAACGACUCAUUCCUAACAGCAACAAGUUGAGGUUUGAAAGUCUUCACCUGAUCUGCAAGAAGAGUAACAUUUGAACCAGCUGCGAGUGCCACAACUCUGAAUUUACCUGGAUUCUCUGCUACGAUGUCCAAAGUCUGAGUCCCGAUGGAGCCAGUGGAUCCAACGACUGAAAUAGGCUUUGGACCAUCCCAAGUCUUACGACCUGGCUCUGGAAAAGCUCUUCCUGGCCAGGCUGGUGGAGGAGGCUGGGCCGAACACUGCACUUUCCUCCCAAAUGCUGCCCCAAAAUCCUUCCUCUUCAGACUGAUAACACCUGGAAACUUAGGAAGGUGGUUGGACUUGGUGGAAUCUAAGAAGGAAAUGGCCUUGAUUUCAGCAGGGGAAAGCAAAUUAAGCUCCAUGGAAUUAAGCAAAGCAAACAGAAAAAUUUCAGGUGGAGAUGACAGAAGAAGGAUAGGCGAGUUGGCAGGGAGAAGCUGG
rnacentral:misc_RNA from 1 species